rfam:Prevotella bivia DSM 20514 genomic scaffold Prebiscaffold_3, whole genome shotgun sequence.
UUGAGCCGUAUGAGAGGAAACUCUCAAGUACGGUUCUUAGGGGGGAAGAGGGCAGUAAUGCCCUUGACCUACCCGAU